rnacentral:rRNA from 1 species
UUGGAGGGCAAGUCUGGUGCCAGCAGCCGCGGUAAUUCCAGCUCCAAUAGCGUAUAUUAAAGUUGUUGCAGUUAAAAAGCUCGUAGUUGAAUUUCGGGGUUUAUCCGUUGGUCGGGCUUUUGGGUCUGUACUGGCGUGAUGAAUUCUUACCUUCUGAAUAACCAGCAUGCCAUUAAUUUGGUGCGCUGGGGAAGCAGGACUGUUACCUUGAAAAAAUUAGAGUGCUUAAAGCAGGCUAUCGCCUGAAUACAUUAGCAUGGAAUAAUGAGAUAGGACGCAUGGUUCUAUUUUGUUGGUUUCUAGGAUCACCGUAAUGAUUAAUAGGGAUAGUUGGGGGCAUUAGUAUUCAAUUGUCAGAGGUGAAAUUCUUGGAUUUAUUGAAGACUAACUUCUGCGAAAGCAUUUGCCAAGGAUGUUUUCAUUAAUCAAGAACGAAAGUUAGGGGAUCGAAGACGAUCAGAUACCGUCGUAGUCUUAACCAUAAACUAUGCCGACUAGGGAUCGGACGAUGUUAAUUUUUUAAUGACUCGUUCGGCGCCUUACGGGAAAC